CUUUCGGAAGCCAUACCAAGCAAUUUUUCCAAGCAGCAGGCAUUUCGAGAACUUCAUGGGGGUGUAAAAGGAUAAAAUUGUGUAACUCACAAAGUCUACGGCCAACAUAGAUAGAAAGUUUGGGAUCGCGAAUUGUUUUGCAGGUCAAAGUAGUUGAUUCCAUAUAUUGUUCAAAGCGGCCAUUGGAAAACUCGCCAAUUAAAUAAGGCCCAAUAUUGUGUCGAGCAAGGCGCUUCAAGUUUUCCAGUUCAACUUGUCGAUUAAUAAACAAUUCAACAUGGGGACCAUAAAUCCGUAGUAACAGUUUGGGAGCGUGGUAACCUUCUGGCGGUGCCACAUAAUAGACAGCAUUAGUUAAAGCUCCUGAAAUUCUU